rnacentral:lncRNA from 1 species
CCAUGACAACACGGAGGAGGAAAAACUGCUUUGUGUCUUUUUUGGCUUUUAUAAAUAAGGAAGGAGAAGUCAGGAUCCUUUCAAGCCAUGCAGAUGCUUUGCAAUGCUUUGAUAGUGCUAAAGGCUCUGUAGGACAUCAUAAGACAGCAAUCAAAAAUGCACUGGAUGGUCUUGACUUCUAGGGAUCUCGGUCAGGUCAGUGAUGCCAAAGCCAGCAGUGAAGCACAAGAAGGUGGUGCAUUUUAAAAGCAACACAUCAAAUAGUGUGAGGUUGCAAUGAGCUCAUUAUGUAUUCUUUUCCUCAGAUGCAUCAUCUUCUGCCCACCUCCUCCAUUCAGCUUACCAGUGCUGCCACAUGGGAUUUCUGCAAUAGCAGCUACAGCACCAUGGCAGGCUUCUCCGGGGCAAAUUCUCUCAGGGAGGGCUUGCUGGGAACACUGAAACCUUCUGAACACACACGAGUUUUUCUCCUUGACACUGAAGUCCACCCACUCUUCAGGAGAGAGCCAGAUAAUACAGGCUACGGAUGUUCAGCAUUUGAUACAAUCACAAGUAUUUUGUCGAGAAGAGCCUGCACCCUCAGAUGGUCUCAGCUGUAG